rnacentral:rRNA from 1 species
GAUGAACGCUAGCUACAGGCUUAACACAUGCAAGUCGAGGGGUAACAAGAGAAAAGCUUGCUUUUCUUGUUGACGACCGGCGCACGGGUGAGUAACGCGUAUCCAACCUGCCUAUAACUAGGGAAUAACCUUGCGAGAGUAAGACUAAUGCCCCAUGACUUCCUUUGGCGGCAUCAAAAAAGGAAUAAAGAUUUAUCGGUUAUAGAUGGGGAUGCGUCUGAUUAGCUUGUUGGCGGGGUAACGGCCCACCAAGGCAACGAUCAGUAGGGGUUCUGAGAGGAAGGUCCCCCACAUUGGAACUGAGACACGGUCCAAACUCCUACGGGAGGCAGCAGUGAGGAAUAUUGGUCAAUGGGCGGAAGCCUGAACCAGCCAAGUAGCGUGCAGGAUGACGGCCCUAUGGGUUGUAAACUGCUUUUAUACAGGGAUAAAGUUAGCCACGUGUGGUUAUUUGCAGGUACUGUAUGAAUAAGGACCGGCUAAUUCCGUGCCAGCAGCCGCAGUAAAAC